AUGAGUGUUAACUACAGAUUUGUUGGCACUAAGCAUUGUUGGUGUUCAGGCUCUGUGGUCUGUUUUACACGGCAAAAUCUGACCCAAGGAUGUUGAGAACAUCUGAAGGAACUCGGGAUAAAAGCGAGAUGGAACAACCUUGUCCCAGUAGAAGCCUACAUGCCAAAGACUCUUCUCCCAAAGCUUUCUCAGUGUGCUGUUGCCUGUUGUCAUCAUUAUCACCACAAUUACUAAUAAUUUGAACCACUGUAGUGCAUUAAGUACAUGUCUGUUCUAGGAAGAGAAUCUCCCUGAAGCAGACAGAGUGCACCUGUCUGUACCAGGAGAUGGUCCAUGCAAUAGAGAGCUCACAACAUAAAUAUGUGGGAUCAGAGGCUGGGAGAAAGCAGGUGGCAGAUCCUCCACUCAAGGCUCCUCUCCCUAUAUUAAGCUCUACCCUACUUAUGAAACCCAGAAAGCUUUGGUGACCAUAUGCUGUUAGUAGGAAAGCUCAAUUGUUCUUAAAUCCUUACAGGAUGUUAUCUGCCCCUGUUACUUAGCUGGUGGGAGUGUAUCCAUCAAUCUCCAGUUAUCUAACAGCCAUCUCCUCUAAACUAGUUUUCCAUGGUCCAGUAUAGCCUUGAGAAAGAAUAGGAACAUAUGGACUCUGCAUUCCAUAUCUACUCUCUUCAAAGUGUAACGAGUGCUUCCUUUGGGAAUGCCCACUAGCUCGUAGAAGGUGCUUAGGUAGGUCUCUCAGACUACAACUUGACAUCCAUAAUCAGAUUAAUUGAGAUUAUAAACAAGCUUGUAGAAUAAGUAACAGAGGAAAAUGCUGAGCUGCUGAUAGGCAAAUAAUUGCUGAGAAGUUUCAGGAACUCUGGCUGUAUCAUUUUAGGGUGGCAUUAGAUGAGUGAAUUGCACCUCAGCUACAUGCUAUGGAAAAAGGGGUGUUUCUUCCCAUGUCUUUAUGGAGGUUGCAGAUCUCACCCAGCUGAAGAUGUAGCUUUGGACCUCUUCCCCAGGACAAAACCUGAAGGUUUAAAGGCCUAAAGAGCCCUGCUGAUGAGUGGUGAGUGGUGGUGGCAAAAGACAACAUAAAAAACCUCCCACAAAAAAAAAGAUUAGAAAAUCUGCAAAAAGGGACAAAAGCAAAUAUUGAAAUAACCUCAACACUUUAAUCCCCAUCCCAUUUUAAUCUAGGACUGUACUCUAUUAGCAUAAAAAUACCAAUUGCAUUUAUUUUGUUAAGGCUUUGCUGAGUAGCUUGACCCCCAGCCUAAUGUGGUUGCCAGGCAUAUUUCUCUUCUACAGAGAGGUGAACAGAUGGCUUUUUUGUGUGUGUGACUGUGUAAGAAAACCCAUUUCUGCAAACAGGGGAUGUCAGAUGUGGAAGGGGUGGUGAGCAGAGUGAAAGCAGUAGAGGCUGUGAAUAAUGGGGCUUCAGGAGCUCAUGGGGCUCAUUACACGGCAGGAGCUCAGGAACAUCUGUCCUGCCAUGAGUCAAGUGGGCUGACCACAGGGGAGCUGGUGUGCUGACAUCUGGCAAGAGAUACUCAAACCUGACAUGAUCACUCCCUGGGUGUAAACUUAAGGAGUCUUCUCAUGUUGGGAGCCUCAGAAAUGUCCUGUGGACCUCAGCCCGGGAGGAGGAGACCUGGGCAUGGCUUGCCCUGGACUCUGCUGCUCAAUGUGGACAUGGGCCUCUUUCACCCUGCUGCUCCCAGUCCUUCCCUCCCCCUGGGCUGGGAGUGGUGUGUGAGCAGCAUCCCUGCAGGAACACCUUAUAGAUCCAUCCCUGCAGAUCAAGGAUGCUUCUCCUCAUCUCCUCCUGCUGCACAGGAAGGGUAAUGAUGCCAAGUAACUUGUAAAAUUUCAUAUCCAACACAUUUUGGCUUCUUUCUGCUUUCAUAAAAAGUCAAGUGUGUCUGA